rnacentral:rRNA from 1 species
UGACUCAAAUGAAUGUCGCCGUAGGAUGGGACUGCGAGCUAUCAGCUUGUUGGUGAGGUAAUGGCCCACCAAGGCUAUAACAGCUACGGGCUCUGAGAGGAGUAGCCCGGAGAUGGGUACUGAGACAAGGACCCAGGCCCUAUGGGGCGCAGCAGGCGAGAAAACUUUGCAAUGCGCGAAAGCUCGACAAGGUUAAUCUGAGUGGUUCCUGCUAAAGGAACCUUUUGUUAGUCGUAGAACCACUGAUGAAUAAGGGGUGGGCAAGUUCUGGUGUCAGCCGCCGCGGUAAAACCAGCACCUCAAGUGGUCAGGAUGAUUAUUGGGCCUAAAGCAUCCGUAGCCUGUUCUGUAAGUUUUCGGUUAAAUCCAUAAGCUCAACUUAUGGGCUGCCGAAAAUACUGCAGAACUAGGGAGUGGGAGAGGUAGACGGUACUCGGUAGGAAGGGGUAAAAUCCUUUGAUCUAUUGAUGACCACCUGUGGCGAAGGCGGUCUACCAGAACACGUUCGACGGUGAGGGAUGAAAGCUGGGGGAGCAAACCGGAUUAGAUACCCGGGUAGUCCCAGCUGUAAACGAUGCAAACUCGAUGAUGCGUUGGCUUGUUGCUAGCGCAGUGUCGCAGGGAAGCCGUUAAGUUUGCCGCCUGGGAAGUACGUACGCAAGUAUGAAACUUAAAGGAAUUGGCGGGGGAGCACCACAAGGGGUGAAGCCUGCGGUUCAAUUGGAGCCAACGCCUGAAACCUUACCCGGAGAGACAGCAGAAUGAAGGUCAAGCUGAAGACUUUACCAGACAAGCUGAGAGGUGGUGCAUGGCCGUCGCCAGCUCGUGCCGUGAGAUGUCCUGUUAAGUCAGGUAACGAGCGAGAUCC